CGCAUCUGUGCAUGCAGCAUAUCAAUAAGCGGAGGAAAAGAAACUAACAAGGAUUCCCUUAGUAACGGCGAGUGAAGCGGGAAGAGCUCAAAUUUGAAAUCUUCAAGGUUUUACCUUGACGAAUUGUAGUUUAAAGAAGUGUUUUCUGUUGAAGUUUUGGUAAAAGUUCUUUGGAAUAGGACAUCAUAGAGGGUGAGAAUCCCGUAUUUGACCAUUAUUUUCAGCUGUGUGAUACACUUUCAAAGAGUCGGAUUGUUUGGGAAUGCAGUCCAAAAUGGGUGGUAAAUUUCAUCUAAAGCUAAAUAUUGGCGAGAGACCGAUAGCGAACAAGUACCGUGAGGGAAAGAUGAAAAGAACUUUGAAAAGAGAGUUAAACAGUACGUGAAAUUGUCAAAAGGGAAGCGUUUGACACCAGUGUUGUUUUCUCGAAAAUCAAUUAAAAAGAGUUAGAUUUUGUUGUGUAUUGACCUUAACAGCUUGCAUUUCAAUUUUCUUGCUCUUUUUAAUGCACUUUUCGUUUAACAAGUCAACAUCAGUUUCUUUUGUUGUAAAAAGGUCAUUGGAAGGUGGCUUUCUUUUCGGAGAAAGUGUUUAUAGCCUUUGACUCCUGCAAUCGGAGAGACUGAGGUCUGCAGCGUAGAUCCUUCGGGGUUAGAUACAUUUGUGCUAAGUUAUAGCUUUUUAUAGACAACUUGUUGACUAUGAUUAGUCUUGUAGCUUACUCGCUUAUGCUAUUUUACCUACGCUUAGGAUGUUGACACACGCGCGUGCUCG
rnacentral:rRNA from 1 species